rnacentral:rRNA from 1 species
AACGAACGCUGGCGGCAGGCCUAACACAUGCAAGUCGAGCGCCCCGCAAGGGGGGCGGCGGACGGGUGAGUAACGCGUGGGAAUAUGCCCUUUGCUACGGAAUAGUCUCGGGAAACUGGGGGUAAUACCGUAUACGCCCUUUGGGGGAAAGAUUUAUCGGCGAAGGAUUAGCCCGCGUUGGAUUAGGUAGUUGGUGGGGUAAUGGCCUACCAAGCCGACGAUCCAUAGCUGGUUUGAGAGGAUGAUCAGCCACACUGGGACUGAGACACGGCCCAGACUCCUACGGGAGGCAGCAGUGGGGAAUCUUAGACAAUGGGGGCAACCCUGAUCUAGCCAUGCCGCGUGAGUGAUGAAGGCCUUAGGGUUGUAAAGCUCUUUCAGCUGGGAAGAUAAUGACGGUACCAGCAGAAGAAGCCCCGGCUAACUCCGUG